GAAAUGCGAUAAGUAAUGUGAAUUGCAGAAUUCAGUGAAUCAUCGAAUCUUUGAACGCACAUUGUGCCCGCCAGUAUUCUGGCGGGCAUGCCUGUUCGAGCGUCAUUUCCACCAUCAGGCCCCCGGGCCUGUGUUGGGGACCUGCGGCUGCCCGCAGGCCCCGAAAUUCAGUGGCGGUCGCGCCGUAGCAACCGAGCGUAGUAACUAAAACGUCUCGCUCUGGCUCGCUGGGCGCGCUCCGGCCGUAAAACACCCCCCCUUUUCGCAAAGGUUGACCUCGGAUCAGGUAGGAAUACCCGCUGAACUUAAGC
rnacentral:misc_RNA from 1 species